GACGUAGGAGGCAAGCGUUGUCCGGAAUUAUUGGGCGUAAAGAGCUCGUAGGCGGUGUGUCGCGUCGGCCGUGAAAACCUGCAGCUUAACUGUGGGCUUGCGGUCGAUACGGGCAUCACUGGAGUUCGGCAGGGGAGACUGGAAUUCCUGGUGUAGCGGUGAAAUGCGCAGAUAUCAGGAGGAACACCGGUGGCGAAGGCGGGUCUCUGGGCCGAUACUGACGCUGAGGAGCGAAAGCGUGGGGAGCGAACAGG
rnacentral:rRNA from 1 species